GAGUUUGCUGGCUCCGUCUCCAGUUCCUUUUGUCUCUUCCCACAUCCCCUCACUCAAGGUCUCUGGGAGCCUGGGCCUUCAGAGACAGCCCUCAGAUCACCUGAGUCGCCCAAGGAUGGAGACCUCCCCCCCAUUUUCCAGAACAAUAAGGUUAGAUGCAGAAAGGCCUGGCCAUUCCCAGCCACCACCCCCCGACUCCUCCCCAGGUGUGGGUGCUGAGAGGUGGAGCCACAGCCAGGCCUCUCCCCAUUGGGCGGGCUCCACAGGUAACCUGAAGCUGUGCUGCCAGGUGCAUAAAUAAAGUGUGGGGCUAUGGUACCACCUCCUUGAAAGGGGCCGAGUUCUUCCUCAGCCUCGCCUUGGAAAAACCAGCUUCUCUCCCUUUCAUUGUCUGUUCCCAGCUCCUGUGCUGCAAGCUCAUCUGAGCCCCCCACACUCCAAACUCUCUCUUUCCGGGUCCUUGAACUCCCCUCUCUGCCAAUCCACUUUCCUCUGCCUUCGUACUCUUCACCAUUAAGGGAGAGGGGCUGUCCGGGACCAGCCCCCACCGCCCCGCAGGACCCACUUCUGUUCUGCACGGGCCUGCUCAGCUGAACUCCCUCUACGGCAAGGGCUUCUUGUUUCUUACUCGCUGUCCUCCAAUCUUCGGAAGGCAAGAGCAGUCCAAGGCUUGGAAUUCCUUUCCUUCUCUCGCAUGCACGAGUCUCCAGCCACCUCUUUGUUCUGAAUUCUCUCAUGAAAGUUCUUUCGAAACAAGCUCAAAGAAGGCCCUGCCCUCUGACGGUACAGACCCUGAUACCUCCAGACACGGUCGUCGCUGGAGUGUCCGUCUUGGAGGUUAAGGACCCCAGAGGUGGGUGAGGCUCUCUGCACGUGCCCGUUGAGGAUUUGAAGAAUCUGGUGGACUGUACCCAUUGGGAGGAUCUAUGGCCUCCCAUCAUCUCCUGGCAUCGCUUAUCAGCGCCAAACAGGUUGGGGAAGGAUGUGGGGCCACUAGAAAGUGGCCACCCGAGGUGGAUCCCUAGGAGCAACACCAAGGAGGCUUACCCUCCUCUGCCUACCCGGGGCCCAAAGAGCACGCCUGCCUCCGGCCAGGUGUUCUUCCCCCCAGUUCACACCCGCACACGGGCCGGCCGCGCAAAGCGCUGCUCAGGCUCUUUGGAGGGUGCGGGCUGGAGAGGAACUGCUCCGCCCCGCCUUCCAGGGCCCUGGUUCGAAGGCGCGGGAGACGCAUUUUCCCAAAGCGGAAAUCUCAGAACACCUGCCUCCCCAGCACGGGGGGAAGACGCCCAGCAGCCCAGCUGGGUAAAGGCAGAGACGUUUCCAUGCGGAUGUGGGUGGGAUGGUCCCUCAAGGGUGAGAAACAGCAGAGGUCCCAGCCGGGCAGCGCCGGCCCACCCCGCGGCCCCGUCUGUGCCGCAGACACAGGGAGGUUCCGGCGAGCUGGCUCUGGGCAGCUCCGGAGGGAAGUGGUCUCCGCCAGAGGGUGUGAGGACUCGGAUCUUCCCCAUUCCCCGCGACCGUGACUCCGAUCGUGGAGGCUUUCGGCCAGGCAACCAACGACCUGGUGUAUCGAGGCCAGGGUUGCCCCGUGGCCCAGACUCAGCACAAGACCUCGGAACAGUCCACGUGUUUCUCUUGUCCUUCAUUCCACCGGAGUCUGUCUCAUACCCAACCAGAUUUCAGUGGAGUGAAGCUCAGGAGGCGUGGAGCUGACCCCGCAGCAGAAGCGGCGACAAGAAGAGCUCUGUGAUGCAUGCGGUCGCCCGCCGACUCCCGGGCCUUCGACGUCACCGCCCCUUUGGGUUACAAUGGAGACCUGAGCUCAACGACUGGCUCGGGUUCCCUCCCUACGUGGGUCCUCCAGGCAGGUGGCUGGAACUCUAUUCCCAAUCAGCAAGGAACCCUCUGCCCUGCCCCCCCCAGAGGACCCGCAGGACCUGCACAAGGGGGUUAAAAAACGACGAGGAUUUAAAAGAGCAUUUAUAUCGUAAUAAAAUAAAUGUAAAUAUGAUGGACGUGAAGGCAGCCUGCAGAUAUGCGAGACGCGGCCCAGGAUCGACCACCGUAAGGGCGUAAAUUGCGUAAAGGUUGAUGCACUUAAACACAUUUGACACAUAAAAACGUCAGGUCCAGCAUUAAUCAUGUACCAAUCGUGACUGCCUUUAGGGGGUCUCUUCUCCCCAAGACAUAGGCUUAAAACGCUCACCUUGAUAGAAAUCUGGUGGUCUGGGGGGGGCGACAAAUAAUGCUUCUCAGCUGUCAGGGUCUUUGAUUUGCUUGGAUAGAUUUAGCACGGAUUUCAUCGGCGUUACAAUCCUGGGUGAUGUUUCUUUUUUUUUUUUUUUUUUUUCCUCCACAUUCUCUCCUUUAGGGAAGGAGAAGGUUGUGGGGAGGAGGAGGGCGGGCCCCCAACCCGAAGGAAGCCGCACCUGGUUACUGGGGAGAUGUCUGAGCCUUUUUGUGAGUUGCUCCAGUAAACAGGGGCUCCUUCGGGGAGCCCGUGGCAUAAAAAGGCGCCUCUGAACAAAGCCAGGUCUGACAAGCCUUCAGAAAAACCGGUUUUCACCUCCAGCAUGUGCUCUGGGCAGCAAAAGUCAACAGAUGCUGGUGGUCUGGCCGAGAUUUUCUUAGGAUCCCCGCUCUAAAGGAGACUCCAGCUUUGCAGAUGGAGGCCUGUCACCUGGGUGUCCAAGCCCCCUCCCCCAGCCGGUGAUCUGAGGGGAGGGGCCUCUACACACACACACACACACACACACGACACUGCCCCUCAGGGAUAAAGGGCUCUCAGACUCAGAGCAGAAGCCAAGAGAAAUAAGCAUUUCCCAGAACACGUUCCUGCCUCAAAACUCACAGGUUCAAAACCUCUUCCCUGUCGCCCUCACCCCUUUAUGCUGAGGCCCAGAGACAACAACAAAAGGGCAAGGAGGCCAAGCCCUGGGCAGUUUUUGGAAACAUGUUUACCCAUAAAAAUUAUGCAGUGAAUGAGGUUGGGGCCCGGGUCAGAGCACUCAGGGCUAAUGAGCCCGCAAAUGCCUUCCGGUCAAGGUUCUGAAAGAAAAGUCACAAAUCAGACCAUUUCCGUCUGCAGCUUGGUCGGGCCCUUCCACCGGGGAUCUUUUGAGAGAGGGAGUGUGUGUGUGUGUGUGUGUGUGUGUGCGCACACACGUGUGCAUGCACGCCUGUAUGUGAGGGAGGCCUGGCUCAAGGGGGACCACAACUAGCAGAGGGCCAGCUGCCAAGCACCAGCCAGGGCACAGAGCUGUGGCUACGCAAGGGGCUACUUGAUGCCACCCCAAAGCCAUUUUCACAGCUGGGACACAGGGUCUGAACGGGCAGGAUGGUUUAUUUCUCAUUCAGAAGGAGCCUGAGCCGGGCUGGGAGCAGCCUGCCGGGGAAGCCCGCCUGUGCCGGGAGCUGGUGGGAACUGCUCCAUCCAUCUGCCCCGUCCAACCCCCACUAUUUUAUGUCCCAUAUCUUCAUUGCAAAGCAUGGCUCACCACCAGAAAACAGAAAAUGAUUUAAUCAAAAUACCCUUGCAACAACAACAACAAAUAAUAUCGCCCUGCUUGCUUUAUUCAUGAUCUUUUAUUGAGGCGAAAGGCAAAUAUCAUUGAGCCAAACCCGAACAAAUAUAUACAAGCGCUGGUAAUUCCAUAUUUUGUGUUAAUGGUGUACACGGUAGAUACGACGCGAGAGGAGUAAAUUACAAUCCCAUCAAUAAUACAUCGCAUCCAGGCUCCGGUUUCCCAGGCAGGAGAAAAUGCAUAUUGGUAAAAGGCUCUCCAAAUAUUAAAAGCCACGCAUAUAAUGAGAGAGUGUGUAGAAGUUACCCAGUCCCCCAGGACGGGAGUCUGGGCUUUGUCGUCAAGGUCCUUUAUAAAAGAAACAGCGUGCGUUGACACAUCCCACAGCUGGGGCUGCCUGAAGAAACCUGGUUCACGAUCCCGGCAGAUCUCUGGGUGAAGCUUCAGUCGCAGAACCACCUGGCACCCAGGCCACACGACUUAGGGAACUGCAUCUAUUUGGGCUCCCUGGGUCUGUGGUCAAUGUCCAGGGUCUGUAGGGUGACCGACCAAGGUGGACAGGGGUCUGCAGAGAGGCCCCAGUGCAGCCGCAGUGCCAGAGGGAAAACAACGCGGCUCCCAGGCCCCCUCUCGCCCUGACCCUGACCCUGAUCAUGACCUGUGUGUGACCCUCCAAAAGAAAGGAGGGAGGAAGCACUGACGCCAGGACAGGAGCCAACUGCCUGCCAAAGAUUAGAGGGUUAUGCGGGACUUUUUUUUUUUUGCUUUUGCUUUUUAGGGCCUCACCUGCAGCAUAUGGAAGUUCCCAGGCUAGGAGUCAAAUCGGAACUGCAGCUGCCAGCCACAGCCACAGCAACGCAGGAUCCCAGCCACAUCUGCAACCUACACCACAGCUCACGGCAACGCCAGAUCCUUAACCCACUAAGCAAGGCCAUGGAUCAAACCCUCAUCCUCAUGGAUUCUAGUUAGGCUUGUUACUGCUGAGCCACAAAGGAAACAUCUAUGCUGGAAUUUUUUUUUUCCUGUCUUUUUUUAGGGCUGCACCAGCAGUGGCAUAUGGAGGUUCCCAGGCUAGGGGCCAAAUCGGAGCUGUAGCCACCAGCCUACACCACAGCCACAGUAAUGCAGGAUCUGAGCCGCAUCUGCAACCUACAGCAUAGCUCAUGGCAAUGUCAGAUCCCUAACCACUGGGUGAGGCCAGGGAUCGAACCCACCUCCUCAUGGAUGCUAGUCUGGUUCAUUAACCACUGAGCUAUGACAGGAACUCCCCAUGCUGGAAUUUUUUUAAAUGAUUUUUAUUUUUUCCAUUAUAGUUGGUUUACAGUGUUGUGUCAAUUUUCCACUAUAGCGCAAGGCGACCCAGUCACACACACAUAUAACAUUCUUUUUCUCACAUUAUCCUCCAUCAGGCUCCACCACAAGUGACCGAGUUUCCAGUGCUAUGCUGGAAUUUUAAAUGUUCCCAGUUCUUCAAAGUCAGUGCCUCCAAAUGCCCCUGCUCCUCUCCCCCAGAGAAGCACCUGACAGUCUUAUUUGAGAUGGAGGAGGAAGCCUUUCUGUCAUGGAAAUAUCAGGCUCAUGGACGAAUUAGGUGACUGCUUACAAGAGGGCCCGUUCGUGUCACCGUCACAUGCUGUGUCCCCAUCUUUGACCUCCCCAAUGAAGGAAAUGAUGGGGAAUCAGAUGGGCCACCUCUUUAAUCAGACCCAGGAAGAAAGAGCAUCCACAGAGGGCUGAGCGGCUGUCAGGGGCCUCCGGCCAAAGGGAGACAAUGCAGGCAGGCAGCAGCCUCUGACCCCAGCUCAGAAAUGUAAAGGCCGACCAGACACUAGAGCGUGAGUGGAAAUAAAAUCCUGCUGAAAUGGAGGGAAGGACUAAGCUUUCUGGAGAGAGACACCCACACAUCAAAGUAAACAAUGCAAAAUAUUCCCUUUGUCUGGCAGCAAGGAACAGCAUCUAGAACACUUGUCAUAGCCUCCCCCACCUCCUCCCCACAGCAGUCCCCCCACUCCCUCCCCACCCCACCCCACAAUUCCUUUUUCCCCUUUGGAGGGGUGAAGAAGGCGAUUUUUUCCUCCAUGCAUGUCAGAGAGCAGGGC
rnacentral:lncRNA from 9 species